rnacentral:rRNA from 1 species
GAUGAACGCUGGCGGCGUGCUUAACACAUGCAAGUCGAACGAAGCACUCUAUUUGAUUUUUUUCGGAAAUGAAGAUUUUGUGACUGAGUGGCGUACGGGUGAGUAACGCGUGGGUAACCUGCCUCAUACAGGGGGAUAACAGUUGGAAACGACUGCUAAUACCGCAUAAGCGCACAGUACUGCAUGGUACAGUGUGAAAAACUCCGGUGGUAUGAGAUGGACCCGCGUCUGACUAGCUAGUUGGUGGGGUAACGGACUACCAAGGCGACGAGCAGUAGCCGACCUGGGAGGGUGACCGGCACCAUUGGGACUGAGACACGGCCCAAACUCCUACGGGAGGCAGCAGUGGGGAAUAUUGCACAAUGGGGGAAACCCUGAUGCAGCGACGCCGCGUGAACGAAGAAGUAUUUCGGUAUGUAAAGUUCUAUCAGCAGGGAAGAUAAUGACGGUACCUGACUAAGAAGCACCGGCUAAAUACGUGCCAGCCGCCGCCGUAA